GACGAAGGGGGCUAGCGUUGCUCGGAAUCACUGGGCGUAAAGCGCACGUAGGCGGAUUGUUAAGUCAGGGGUGAAAUCCUGGAGCUCAACUCCAGAACUGCCUUUGAUACUGGCGAUCUCGAGUCCGGGAGAGGUGAGUGGAACUGCGAGUGUAGAGGUGAAAUUCGUAGAUAUUCGCAAGAACACCAGUGGCGAAGGCGGCUCACUGGCCCGGUACUGACGCUGAGGUGCGAAAGCGUGGGGAGCAAACAGG
rnacentral:rRNA from 1 species